GUAUUUAUAGUAUAAUUAUUACAUUAGCCUUUCACGCUAAAAAUACACCCACCUAUUGUUAAAUACA
rnacentral:tRNA from 1 species